UAAGAGGAGGUCUGAACAAAGUCUGGACCUGAAUGUGUAAUUUUGAAGAAGAAGAAAUAGGAGUUGUCAAUGUUUUUGUUUACAAACCGAAAUGACUCUGUGAUAUUUUCAUGCAAGUGCAAUCAGUUAGUUAAAUUUUUAGUAAAUAAGUUGAUGCCUGAAGAAGCUCUAAAUAAACAGAGCGAAAUAUUGCA